rnacentral:lncRNA from 12 species
GAUGUCUCCCCCCGCCCCGCCUCCCCCCUGCACCCGUUUGCGGCCGCGCCGCCGCCUCCCUCCCGAGCGGCCGCCGCGUCCCGGGCGCGCGCCGGAGCCUCCUCCGCCGCCGCCGCCGCCGCCGCCGCCGCCGCCGCCGCCGCCGCAGCCCGAGGCGGGAGGGUGCGGGCGCCCCGUGCGCACAGCGCGGCGCUCCUGCUCCCCGGUGGCCGCCCGCGGACCCGCCGCCCUUCCUCGAGAGCAAGCGAGGGCGGGCGAAGCCGGCGCAGACGCCGCCCGGGACGGCGGCCCUUCCCCGCGCGCGCAACGCACUUGUCUGCGGCGGCGGCAGCGACACACGGACGCGGCGGCUGAGCCGGAGCGGGAGCCGCAGCGGGAGCGCGGCGGGGAGCGCGGGGAGCGCGCGGAGCGCCGGCCGGUGUCCCCCGAGACUGGCCUGGGCGCGCCAGGCGGACUCCUGGGGAGCGCACGCUCGGGCCCCGCGGGAAGGCGCCCUCGCCCGCACCCUCACCACGCGGGCCGGCCCCGACGACCGCCGCUCCAGCCUGCAGCCCGGAGCCUGGAGCCCGGAGCCCGGAGCCCGGAGCCCGCGGCGGAUGGUGGGACUCUCCAGCCCGGCGCCGCAUCGGACUGAGAAGCACUCCACGAUGCCAGACUCACCUGUGGAUGUGAAGACCCCGUCUAGGCUGACUCCUCCUACCAUGCCACCUCCCCCCACAACUCAAGGAGCUCCGAGAACGAGUUCAUUUACACCGACGACUUUAACUAAUGGCACGAGCCAUUCACCCACAGCCUUGAAUGGCGCCCCCUCGCCGCCCAAUGGCUUUAGCAAUGGGCCUUCCUCUUCUUCCUCCUCUUCUCUGGCUAAUCAACAGCUGCCCCCAGCCUGUGGCGCCAGGCAGCUCAGUAAGCUGAAACGGUUCCUUACUACCCUGCAGCAGUUUGGCAAUGACAUUUCUCCAGAGAUAGGAGAGAGAGUCCGCACCCUCGUACUAGGACUGGUGAACUCUACUUUGACAAUUGAAGAAUUUCAUUCCAAACUGCAAGAAGCUACUAACUUCCCACUGCGACCUUUUGUCAUCCCAUUUCUGAAGGCCAACCUGCCCCUGCUGCAGCGCGAGCUCCUCCACUGCGCAAGGCUGGCCAAACAGAACCCUGCCCAGUACCUCGCCCAGCAUGAACAGCUGCUUCUGGAUGCCAGCACCACCUCACCUGUUGACUCCUCAGAGCUGCUUCUCGAUGUGAACGAAAACGGGAAGAGGCGAACUCCAGACAGAACCAAAGAAAAUGGCUUUGACAGAGAGCCUUUGCACUCAGAACAUCCAAGCAAGCGACCAUGCACUAUUAGCCCAGGCCAGCGGUACAGUCCAAAUAACGGCUUAUCCUACCAGCCCAAUGGCCUGCCUCACCCCACCCCACCUCCACCUCAGCAUUACCGUUUGGAUGAUAUGGCCAUUGCCCACCACUACAGGGACUCCUAUCGACACCCCAGCCACAGGGACCUCAGGGACAGAAACAGACCUAUGGGGUUGCAUGGCACACGUCAAGAAGAAAUGAUUGAUCACAGACUAACAGACAGAGAAUGGGCAGAGGAAUGGAAACAUCUUGACCAUCUGCUGAACUGCAUCAUGGACAUGGUGGAGAAGACGCGGCGCUCCCUCACGGUGCUGCGGCGCUGCCAGGAGGCCGACCGCGAGGAGCUCAAUUACUGGAUCCGGCGCUACAGCGACGCCGAGGACCUGAAGAAAGGCGGCGGCGGUGGCGGCGGCCACUCCAGACAGCAGAGUCCGGUCAACCCGGACCCGGUUGCACUAGAUGCGCAUCGGGAAUUCCUUCACAGGCCUGCUUCUGGAUACGUGCCAGAGGAGAUCUGGAAGAAAGCUGAGGAGGCGGUCAACGAGGUGAAGCGCCAGGCGAUGACCGAGCUGCAGAAGGCCGUGUCCGAGGCCGAGCGGAAGGCCCACGACAUGAUCACCACCGAGCGCGCCAAGAUGGAGCGCACGGUGGCCGAGGCCAAGCGGCAGGCGGCGGAGGAUGCGCUGGCCGUCAUCAACCAGCAGGAGGAUUCGAGCGAGAGUUGCUGGAACUGCGGCCGCAAAGCUAGCGAGACGUGCAGCGGCUGUAACACGGCCCGGUACUGUGGCUCAUUUUGCCAGCACAAGGACUGGGAGAAGCACCACCACAUCUGCGGCCAGACCCUGCAGGCCCAGCAGCAGGGGGACACGCCCGCUGUCAGCUCCUCCGUCACGCCCAACAGCGGGGCCGGCAGCCCCAUGGACACACCACCAGCAGCCACCCCGAGGUCGACCACCCCGGGGACCCCCUCUACCAUAGAGACAACCCCUCGCUAG